rnacentral:rRNA from 1 species
AGAGUUUGAUCCUGGCUCAGGAUGAACGCUGGCGGCGUGCUUAACACAUGCAAGUCGAACGGUGAACACGGAGCUUGCUCUGUGGGAUCAGUGGCGAACGGGUGAGUAACACGUGAGCAACCUGCCCCUGACUCUGGGAUAAGCGCUGGAAACGGCGUCUAAUACUGGAUAUGUGACGUGAUCGCAUGGUCUGCGUCUGGAAAGAAUUUCGGUUGGGGAUGGGCUCGCGGCCUAUCAGCUUGUUGGUGAGGUAAUGGCUCACCAAGGCGUCGACGGGUAGCCGGCCUGAGAGGGUGACCGGCCACACUGGGACUGAGACACGGCCCAGACUCCUACGGGAGGCAGCAGUGGGGAAUAUUGCACAAUGGGCGCAAGCCUGAUGCAGCAACGCCGCGUGAGGGACGACGGCCUUCGGGUUGUAAACCUCUUUUAGCAGGGAAGAAGCGAAAGUGACGGUACCUGCAGAAAAAGCGCCGGCUAACUACGUGCCAGCAGCCGCGGUAAUAC